rnacentral:lncRNA from 11 species
AGAAAGUUCAGAAUAAGUCAGAUAAUGCACUAUUGGUUGCUCAGAAUAUAUCCCAUUAAGGGAUAAAAACCAGGACCAGAAAAUGCAGCAUUUGUCAUGACACCCUAAGUGUUGAAGGACUUUUAAAAACACGGAGACACAAUUGGUUGAAAGAUAAACAAUUACUCCCCAGGAGAGGAAACCACAUUAUUUCCAUGGGAACUCUUGCCUUCAAUUCCUUUGGUCUCCUUUCCUGUCCCCUGCAACAGUCCAGUGCUGAUCCUGAACGGACAUGGAUAUGCACAUUUGUGCAUUUCAGCAGACUGGGUGCCUUGAGAGUCGGAUUCAUAUGGAUAUCAAGCCCAAUAG